CAAAGCACUUUGGAGAGAGAGUUAAAGAGGACGUGAAACCGGCUAGGUGGAAACGGAUAGAGCUAGCUUAGUUUACCUGUGUUCAUCCGUGGAGCGUCUCGCUCUGCGGUGCAUUUGCAGGUGCUGUGCGUUGAGGCUGGCGAAUGGUCGAGUUGAUCGUCUCUCAGAGGCGCUUCCAUUUCUGGAUGCAAACCUGAGAUACGCUAGGCUCGUUUCGUUUGCUUGUGUGUACCUUUUGCUCUGUGGUUUUUUUCGGACCUUUUGCUGUCUCGUGUUGUGUCGCUUGUUGGCCCGCUUGCGGUGCUGCAAGCGCCGUGAUACGAGCAGCAUUUUCGGUCCUCGGAGCAGUCCUCGACGUGGAAGCUGGUCAUCUCUCCGACCCGUCUUGAAACACGGACCAAGGAGUUUAGCGUGUGCGCGAGUCAGUGGGUGUUUUAAACCUACAGACGCAAUGAAAGUGCAGGCCGCUUUCUGGUGGCUGACGUGCGAUCCAAGUGUUCUGUGUGCGCUUGGAGCAGCAUGGUCCCGCUCCGGUCGCUUGCGACGGGGCGGAGACAGAGUGCAUGCGCUGAGACCCGAAAGAUGGUGAACUAUUCCUGAGCAGGAUGAAGCCAGAGG
rnacentral:rRNA from 1 species